GAUGAAGAACGUAGCGAAAUGCGAUAAGUAAUGUGAAUUGCAGAAUUCAGUGAAUCAUCGAAUCUUUGAACGCAUCUUGCGCUCCUUGGUAUUCCGAGGAGCAUGCCUGUUUGAGUGUCAUUUUAACUUCUCAACCAUAUCGAAUUGUUUUUCGAGGUGGCUUGGACAUGGGGGUUUUGCAGGCUUUAAUAAUGAAGUCGGCUCCUCUGAAAUGCAUUAGUGGUAUCUGAAGCAGAACUGCUACUAUUAGGUGUGAUAAUUAUCUAUGCCUCUUGGUAUACUGCAUGAACAGAUUGCGCUGCUUCCAACUUGUACACCCUUUGGUGUUUGACAAAUUUGACCUCAAAUCAGGUAGGACUACCCGCUGAACUUAAGCAUAUCAAUAAGCGGAGGA
rnacentral:misc_RNA from 1 species